UCACUGGCAGAUAUUUCAAAUGAUUAAAAGACAACUUGGCUACAUAGUAAUUAUUAUUGUUUUAAAAUGAUUGCACUCACAUCUCAAAGUACAAAUAAUUAUGUGGCCACCUAUAUUCAUAGCCGAUGGUCACUGGCAGAUAUUUUAAAGAGAGAAGUGCAAGGUUACGUCAUUGAAUGCAAUGAACUCUAUGAUAUCAUCCAUCAAAUUAAUUUACACAGCCACACAGGGAAAGAUCACAUCAAAAA
rnacentral:lncRNA from 1 species